GACGAACGCUGGCGGCGUGCCUAAUACAUGCAAGUCGAACGCACUCUCGUUUAGAUUGAAGGAGCUUGCUCCUGAUUGAUAAACAUUUGAGUGAGUGGCGGACGGGUGAGUAACACGUGGGUAACCUGCCCUAAAGUGGGGGAUAACAUUUGGAAACAGAUGCUAAUACCGCAUAAAACCUAACACCGCAUGGUGUAGGGUUGAAAGAUGGUUUCGGCUAUCACUUUAGGAUGGACCCGCGGUGCAUUAGUUAGUUGGUGAGGUAAAGGCUCACCAAGACCGUGAUGCAUAGCCGACCUGAGAGGGUAAUCGGCCACACUGGGACUGAGACACGGCCCAGACUCCUACGGGAGGCAGCAGUAGGGAAUCUUCCACAAUGGACGAAAGUCUGAUGGAGCAACGCCGCGUGAGUGAAGAAGGUUUCGGAUCGUAAAACUCUAGUUGUUGGAGAAGAAUGUAUCUGAUAGUAACUGAUCAGGUAGUGACGGUAUCC
rnacentral:rRNA from 1 species